rnacentral:rRNA from 1 species
UACAGAGGUCCCGAGCGUUGUUCGGAUUCACUGGGCGUAAAGGGUGCGUAGGUGGCCUAAAAAGUUUGAUGUGAAGGCUCAGGGCUUAACCCUGAAAUGGCAUUGAAUACUGUUGGGCUGGAGGUUUGGAGGGGGGACUGGAAUUCUUGGUGUAGCAGUGAAAUGCGUAGAUAUCAAGAGGAACACCAGUGGCGAAGGCGAGUCCCUGGACAACACCUGACACUGAGGCACGAAAGCUAGGGGAGCAAACAGG